GUGUCACAUUACUGGCUCCCCCCUCCAGAAUAAAUGACCCAACAGGUUCCAUUGGUCGUAAAGAAAAUGUACUUUGCUUUUGCCUUUUCCUGAUUGAGUUGCUUUCUCCAUUAGAAUCAAGGCCCCAAGUGUGGAAUAGCCCAAAUCAUAGGUGUACAUACACAUUUCAAUUAUACAACUAAAAGAAAAUGAACAACAAAACCUAAUGCAAUAGAGCAAGUGAAUGUAGAACAAAAAUGUGAAAGUAGCAUGCAAAGAGUUUUGCACCUAGAGGAUGUUUGUGCUGUGGUUAUUUAUAUAGUUUCUCCAUUUCAGUUCCCUUCUCUACAUACAAUCUUCCCCCUUUGCCGCCUUUUCCAUUAAAAUCAAAGUCAUUCUGUUAGACCAAAACUCUGGAGCACCUACAUUUUCUACUGUUCUCUUGGGAUUGAGAAGUGGCUUACUGUAAUUACCAUCUCCAACAGAACUCAGGUUCUAAGAAACCAAAUGCACAAGGUCCCAUCAAUUAAUAACGGGACUUGGGCAAUAGGCACAACACAGGGUAUGCUCUAGAGGGGAACUAAGACAGGCAAUCUGUAUUUUGAUGCUCAGAAUAUUUUCUUGGUUCAAAAAAUGGCAUGAUGUCAAGCCAGGACUCUGACCUUCCUCAUAAAUUUUGGCAUUCAUAUCUUACAUAGAAAAGUAAUAAAUAAAAAAGAAAGCUUUGUUUCUCCUGAUGCAGAUCCUUUUCAGUCAUUAAAAGAUGUGAUUAAGUGAAGCAAUCAAAUUACCAAUAAUCUCCACAAAUACAGGCUCCAUCCUUGAACACAUGAAAGUGAUUGCCAUCUCUAACCAAUAACUCCCUUUGCACAACCUUUGAUUUGUGCUUGGUUAUGGUGUAGCAAUCCCUACAAACCCUAAUUUUUUUCAUUACCUGCAAAGUGGUACCUGGUUUUGUAUGACAUUCCAAAUGGUAUGGUCAGCCUAUCACUGUGCCUGCAAAGCAUGUCUCUCUUCUCAUUGUCCUCAAUCUCAUGUAAAACAAAUUGCAAAUUGGCAACAUAACUUUCCUGAGCCAUCAAGCCAGCAAAUAUCCCGAAUAACUUAUAGACCUCUUUAAACUGUUUGAAGAACUUAUCCCCACACCCAAAACAUAGACCCAGUUUUGUAUCUCCAUCCAACCACAUCCAGGGUCUUUUUCCAGUCCUUUAGCCUUGAUUGAUUUGCAUAUAGGGCAAACUUGAUCCCAUUUCCCUAUAGUUGCAUAUACAUUUGAUAUUAAAACAUAAUACCCAGUAUUUUCAAUUUGUUGAUCCGUUCUGAUGAGCUUUCUGCAAUCUGGGUGUCUUCUCUUGCCCAAAAAGCACAAGUAAAGACCUAUAUCCUUGAAUCUGACCUCCAUGACAUGGAAAGCUAAAAGGCCAGAUCGAAUUGGAGACCAUUUACGGAACCAUGUGCUCAAUUUUGUAGUAUUUUAUCGUCUGGUGGAAAUAAGCAAUACCUCGUACCAAACCAGAAUGGGUACAUGCAAAGAUGAUGGCCUAUUACACUAAAAGUAACUUCAAUAAUUUUUACCCUAAAUAAAUUAAUAAACUAAUCUACUUCUAAUUAAACCAACCUCCUACCUAAUUCUUCUUCACGACAAUUGUUGUCCUAGUUCACAAAACCCCCAAAAAUUGUAAUUUAUUUUUCCAAAAUGGGUUGUUUGCAGUAUCCUCCAACCAUAUUAACGAUGCAAAUCUAUUAAAAUAUUUACUCCAAUUCUUCAUAACAUAUUCUGCAUGAAUGGCAGUCCUCUUGGUUGGAAAAUAGAGUUCAUAUUCUCUAUUAGAAUCCUUACAUUCUUGGUUGGACUCUGUUCGAUAUGCUUACCCACAAAAUCUAUCAUAAGAAAAUCGUAGACAUAUUUUCUUACAAAAUCUACCAUAAGCAAACAGUAAGGCACUUGGAAUCUCUUUCUGCUCAAGAAUAUUUUCAUGUGACCACCAUCCGAUGCUGCCCCAUCCUUGAUCACAUUAUUCAUCAAGUGCAAGUCUCCUAGACUUGCAAAUCAUGACUUAAACAAUGCCUUCUGCAUGUCUUGCAUUUAUAUAAUGCAACUCAUGAUAAUAAUUCCUUUUAAGUGAUCAAGAAAAACAUCUUUAGCAGUCGAAUUUAUCCUUAAAUAAGUCAAAGAACAGUAUUAAUAGAUACUUUGAGAGUGGCAGUGAGAGUAGUAGUAUUCUAUGUCGAUCAAGAGUAGUAUCUGUCAAGAGGUUGACAGCAAUCUCCCUGUACAGGUGCAAACCUCCUGGGAUAUGCAGAAGGUAGUAUCACAAAUCUAUUCAAAAUGGACCAACCCCAAUUGGUUUGACUUUCACAGCUUGUCUAUAUGGCAUAGUCCCAUGAGCCAGUCAUCCUUUAGCAUAUUCCUCAACAUCACUUGAUCUCAGCCAAUUUCUUUGACGGUUUGAGCAUUGCCAUGCUUGCCCCUUAGGGUUUGUCAUUCAUUUGUUUUAUGUAGUUGAUGAGCAUGGAUGACUAGGAAUAUAUCUAACUAGUCCAUGCUUCAACUCUCAUUCUUUUGACGAUGGUCCAUCUCUGGAGGUUACCUCCCAUGAUAAAAGGUCUGUAGCCUCCAAGGAAUAUCGUCCACCCUUGUAGAUCAAUUAUCCCUUUUUGGUGGUCAACUCACAUGAUUAAAGAACUACAUCCUUCAUGAAGGACAUUCUUUGAACAACUUUGGGCUAGAAGCUCUGGUAGUAACCACUGAUUUUAUUGGGACCAACUAGUUCAACUGAGAUAAUAGGUCAUAUUCAUGCAACUUCCUCUAAACUAGACAUGUUGAACUGAUUGAGCCACAUACAUCUAAAGCUACUGGAUUAUGAUGAAGUUUUUGCUCUGUCUUGCAACAUUUAAAGAAAAGUAGAAGGAUAGCAUGAUUAGAAGCUUAGACACAUGUACAUUCGCUCCCCUUAGAGAAAACCGAAAUUCUUCACAUGAUUGUGUCUAUUUGUAAUCUUCUUCAAGUUCUUUAUUCCACAUGAAGAGUUCUUUCAGUGUUUCCAUUCUUCUCCAAGUCUCUUUGGACCUUGUAAGCAGCAAUAAUGUAGAAGGUUCUAUAAGUUAUCAGAUUGGCCUUUUCUUUAACCUCUACUAUUUAAAUAUUUUUUUGGUUCCAUUUGCUUUUAUUUUUCUAUUUCUAUAUAAUGUUUUUGUAAAGUAAAAGUAUUAGCAAUCAAUGUUUUUUUAGAUGAAUAUCAACUAUGGAUGUGUACUAGAUAGAGGUAAAUAGGCACGUUUUGAACUUUGGGAUGUUUCCCAAUGAAAGGGCUAAUACUCCCCUGAUUUUUUCCCUGUUUUUAUCUUAUAAUAUUUUCAGCAAACAAUCAAAACACAUGCAAGAAUGAAUGUACUAACACUCUCCCAACAAUUAAAGCAAUGCAAGUCACAUGCAAUGAACCAACACUCCCCAAUCAAGAGCUAUUUAACCUUUCAAUGAGAAGCAUUAAAUAUUCACGUACCCAACCGAUCAUUAGACAAAUAUGAAAUUAUUUUAGAGCACAAUUGACAAAAUUCAACCAAUGUCAUCAAUAAUCCAAAUCAUUGUAGCAACUGAAAAUUCACAAUCCUAGAUAAAUAGAUAAAGAUAACCAAAUGAAGAACAAAAAGAGAUAAUGACACAAGGGUUUUAUUUGGAAGCAAUGUAUCAAAAGGCUAAAGAUGGUCUUGAGGCAUUUUGCCUAAAUGAGGCAAAGAGUAAGUUAAGUAGAAUGAGGUGUAAGCCUCAACUUAAACAAGUAAAUAAUAAAUAAAUAAAAAUUAUCAAAAAAAAAAACCUCAUAAAUUCAUAAGAAAAUUAAAUAAUAAAAAAGGCAUAAACUUUAUAAUUUGGUUUCUUUUUCUCUCAUAAAAUCUAGCUCUUUCAUAGUGUUUUUUUUUUUUAUCAAAUGCUCUUUCAUAGUUUUAUCAACUAAUUUUUGACAUUACUAUUUUUAACAUUACUAUCAUUAUCACUAGUAGGAUCCCCCAAGGAAUAUAAUCACAUCCAAUUGCUAUAUUAUGCUCCCAAUCAGUGUUAAUAUCUUCCCAUUCUUUUUCUUCAUCCACCAAUUGUGGUAUUAUUAUUUUUUACUUAUCAAUAAUAAGAUAAUGAUUAUACAUGAGAUCAGCCAUUAGGGAAAUCAAUGAUUCCCCUAUGCUUCUCAAUCUUUCUUUUUCCCUUCUAUUCAAAAAUGUUAAUUGGAAGUUAACUAACCUCAUUUUGUAACCAAGUUAGACCCAAGACAUAAUUCAUGAAAUCUAUGUCAAAUGCUCACAAAAGCAAAGAUGAUAGAACUCAUUCAAACUCAUUGAAUAUUGAGAUUUAAGCCUCUUACAAAAUAUAUACCAAAAGCCUAUAAAGGCUGAAUUUUAGAUAUUUGAGGCUUAGACCUCAGUAGCUUUGAGGCUACCCUAACCAAGGCUAUAGCCUCACGGCUAAGUUAUAGAGCCUUGAGGCAUAAGUCUCAAUAGUCUUUUAAAACACUCUGUGGAAGAUCUUUAAAUUAGCAAAAAAGUAUGAGCUCACAAGUGAUUGAAAAAUUCCAUUAUGAAAAAAAAAAAUAACUAAAGCCUCAAUAGCCUUUUAACAAGGUAUUACCUAACUCAAGUCUACCAAUCUUCUUUUAGACUACACAACUAGUACCUUUGAACUUCAACUAUACACCUUCUUGAUCAGGAACAAACUUGGAGUUACCACCAAGCUUGAUCUUAGUAACUUCCUGAUGCCCAAUCAAGAUGUAAAGGGUUUCAUUUAAAAACAACAAUGAGACAAAGGAUGGUAUGACAAGAUUAAUCAACCCCCUUUUUGAAAGAAAACUAAACUAAAACAUGUUUUCCAGCUUCAAACAGAAGUAGAUUUUCUUGGAAACAAACACUGCCAAUUUGGUAAAAAGAAGCUGCUCAAAAAGGGAGUCUUAAUGACUACUUUGUUUCCUCAAACCCUAAUUUGGGAAUUUAGGUUUAAAUAGUAGAAACUGCAGAUCAAUCUAAUAUUGUAAUUCAGCUAGAAUAUUUUCAAUGAAUUUUUUUAUGUUGAUAGAUCCAACUUUGAAGUUAGAUCAAUUAGAAAGAGCAAAAAAGACUAAGCUAAAAAAUGACACCUUUUAACUCUCUUGAUCUUUUAUUACAAUUUAACCAAGAUACCCAUAAUUUAAAAAAACUGUUGAUUCAAUUUGUCCAUCUACAAUCUCAAACCAUUUACCUUAGCCUCUAACGACCUUAAGCAUAAUAGACUUCAAAUAGGCAAUUAAUCCAAUGGAGAAUUUUGAAAGACCUAAAUUGAGAGUAUAUAUAGGAAUUGAUCCAGAAUUGCCAAUCCAUCUAAAGCACUCAGUGUUUUCAUAUUUAAAUUAAAUUAAUUUUUCCAUUUUUCUAUAAAGUUCCUGUUACUGUUAGGUAAAAGCGGAAGGCUUGCAUUGAAAAAGACCCCUCAAAUUUGGCUAGAGAAAACACCCUUGUAGUUAGGAUCUUAUUUAGAUGCAUACAAAAGUACUUAAACACAAUAGGUUGCACACUCUUUGCCUCUAUCUCAUAGUGGUAACAUUGAAGCUGAAGCGAUUAUGUUAGACUACACUUCUACUUAUAAAUCUAAUUUAGCCAAUCAUGGAAGCAAAUAAGAAAAAAAUAAAUGCAAACAUUAUGGAGAAAUUAGACUUCUUGAGGAUCAUUAUGGACUAGAUGCAAAAGUAGAAACUCUCCAUUAAAACAACAUACAAUCCCAUUACCACUCCAACAUUUCUUUCAAACCACUAAGGAAAUACAAUUUGAAGUGGCAUGGGAGUAGUAUGUCAGCAACCAAACAAAGUCACUGCAUUUUUGUUAUAGAAAUUAACUCUUCUUUCUCUAGAUUUAGUGGGUUGGGUUCCAAAUAUUUGGAAAUCAAGCCUAGUUUUCGCUAAGCAUCAAUUAUUUUUACUUAUUUAAUUAUAUACUCAAGCUAACAAAAACUACAAUCAAAGUUCUUGAGAUAUCAGACAGGGAGAAGCCAUGAAAUUGUAGCAAUAAGCACUCUAUGAUGUGUAACCAUUAUGAUUAGGGAGUAAAAGUAAAGCAGCUUCUAUUGUCACAUACCUGUUCAUACAGUCUCAAGGUUGUACAUGAUUCUACGGUGAACCAGGUGAUACCAUUACUGGACUAGGUUUUGCACGUUGCUAAUAAUGCACCAGUGAACAAAUAGAAGGGGCCAUAAUGCACCAGGAAACAAGAGCGAUGCCAAUG
rnacentral:lncRNA from 1 species